UACAGAGGUCCCGAGCGUUGUUCGGAUUCAUUGGGCGUAAAGGGUGCGUAGGCGGCGGGGUAAGUCUGAUGUGGAAUCCCGGGGCUCAACCCUGGAACUGCAUUGGAUACUGCCUUGCUUGAGAACUGGAGAGGAGACUGGAAUUUACGGUGUAGCAGUGAAAUGCGUAGAGAUCGUAAGGAAGACCAGUGGCGAAGGCGAGUCUCUGGACAGUAUCUGACGCUGAGGAGCGAAAGCGUGGGGAGCGAACAGG
rnacentral:rRNA from 1 species